CUAAAAACCAAGCUGCGGAGAGCGGUAGGCGUGUUGGGCUAAAGGACAUGGACGGACAAGGGCCUUUGGCUGGAUGUGAUCUUUUGAGACCAGUCUGUGGUAGGGGUACCACCACUGGGUGACCACCCGUCCCCUAAUUGGGCGGGACAGUCCCAGAAUGCGAUCAUCAUAGUCCCGGCCCCAGGCUGCACGACUCGAAGACGCUGUUUGUCCCAGAUUUGCAGCAGUGUCUCGGGAUCCAGGUUUCUCCUUGCAGCUUGGCAGUGUUCCAGCUUGCAAGGGGCUGCUGGGAGCAGGGUGCAGGGGGCGCCACACACACCUGCACAUGGACAGGAAACAGCCAGCCAGUGUGAGGGGCAACUCUCUGCAGGAAUUGGAACCCCUACUCAGAACACUCUGAAGAAAGCCUGAAGAGAUCCUGUCAUCAGUCCAAGAUCCUGUCUUAACAUCAGACGUAGGAACCAGGAGACCCGGACAAGAUUUCAAGGCCUGAUCAACCAGUAAAGCUGCGUUUACAAUAUUUCGGGGUGGUGAGCAUCUGCCUUGACUAGCUACAAACCUAACAUUUUUAACUGCUACUCCAAUUUUAAUUAGAAUUGUAUC